rnacentral:rRNA from 1 species
AUGGAGGAGAUGAAGGAUGCCCCGAAGCUUGCGAGGCUGCGCAGCGCGGUGAGGCAGCAGAAGGGGAGGCUGUACAUCAUCAGGAAAUGCAUCACCAUGCUCAUCUGCGGCAUCCCCAAAUGUGUAUGCCCUAGUUCUCUAUCAUCUUCUUCCCCAAUUGCUUAG